rnacentral:rRNA from 1 species
CAUGCAAGUCGAACGGAGCCAAGAGGAGCUUGCUUUUCUUGACUUAGUGGCGAACGGGUGAGUAACGCGUGAGUAACCUGCCCUGGAGUGGGGGACAACAGUUGGAAACGACUGCUAAUACCGCAUAAGCCCACGAUCCGGCAUCGGAUUGAGGGAAAAGGAUUUAUUCGCUUCAGGAUGGACUCGCGUCCAAUUAGCUAGUUGGUGAGGUAACGGCCCACCAAGGCGACGAUUGGUAGCCGGACUGAGAGGUUGAACGGCCACAUUGGGACUGAGACACGGCCCAGACUCCUACGGGAGGCAGCAGUGGGGGAUAUUGCACAAUGGGGGAAACCCUGAUGCAGCGACGCCGCGUGGAGGAAGAAGGUUUUCGGAUUGUAAACUCCUGUCGUUAGGGACGAUAAUGACGGUACCUAACAAGAAAGCACCGGCUAACUACGUGCCAGCAGCCGCGGUAAAACGUAGGGUGCAAGCGUUGUCCGGAAUUACUGGGUGUAAAGGGAGCGCAGGCGGACCGGCAAGUUGGAAGUGAAAACUAUGGGCUCAACCCAUAAAUUGCUUUCAAAACUGCUGGCCUUGAGUAGUGCAGAGGUAGGUGGAAUUCCCGGUGUAGCGGUGGAAUGCGUAGAUAUCGGGAGGAACACCAGUGGCGAAGGCGACCUACUGGGCACCAACUGACGCUGAGGCUCGAAAGCAUGGGUAGCAAACAGGAUUAGAUACCCUGGUAGUCCAUGCCGUAAACGAUGACUACUAGGUGUUGGAGGAUUGACCCCUUCAGUGCCGCAGUUAACACAAUAAGUAAUCCACCUGGGGAGUACGACCGCAAGGU